UAGCAGGAUAAGUUACAGUGCAGCUUGUUUGGUGCGGUGCUGUCGUUCCCCCUGCAAACAAUAACCUGUUUCCAGCUAUCCCUGUCUGCCUAAAUCACCUCCGGCAACCAGGGACGCAUGGUUUCAGACAC
rnacentral:snoRNA from 14 species